ACUGUGGGUGGACUCGGGUGAGCGGGGGGACGGGGCAGCCUGGCAGGGUGCCGGGGCCUUGUGGGGGUGGCACAUGCCAGGAUUCAAGGAGGCUGCCGUGAACGCGUGCGGGUCCGGGGGGGCCACACCGGCUCAGCGCCCCAGGGCCACCCGGCUCCCGCGGUCCCCAGCCGAAGUGGCCCCGAGGCGCCUGGCACGGCCGGCACAUGGGGGGCAUCCGGCAGCGCUGCCCGCGGAGCAGCCCCCCAAGCCCCGGAGCACAGCGCUUCUCACGGCUCCCCGCUGGCCGCCAACCCCGGGGCUGGUGCUCGCGGCUCUGCCCUGCCACCUCCCGCUCCCGUUUGACGCGUGUACACAGAGCAAACCCGCUCGCCUCUGCUGCCAGCCGAAAAUUAAAUCACUGCCGAAAGAAAAAUCCUGAAAGGAUCCCUGACUGCUCCCGCAGACAGAGCAUCCCGCAGCUCCCUGCACCAAACCUGCGGCCAGCCCUGUCCUACACCGAGCCGGCGAGGCCCAGGUCGUCCUGUUUGCUCCGACACGUGCUACUGCGUGGAGCAGGUGCCGGGCUCGGCGCGACUAUGCAUGGCCAGACCGAAGUGGUAAAUACUACUGUAUAGCAAAUGUUAGCUCUCUUUCCUGCAGGCAGAGCAAUGACCUAGUUCCCCGAUCCGGCUGAUUUAUUGAACUGGAAGCGGGAGCGGGGACGAUGUGUGCUGGGCUCUGCCUCGCUCCUGCCUCUGUUGGCGCUGAGACUGUUGCUUGCUGCUGCCAGAUGAAAGUGGCAGGGCUGGCGAGGCCCCUUCGCUCGUCGUCCCCGCUUUUCGGCAAAAAACAGAAGCAAGGGCGGAGGCAGGGAGAUUUUGGAAGCAGAAAGGGAGUGGAGGGGCCGUGGCUGAGUUCAUUAUCCCGACCUGCAAACACAUUAACUCUGGAUUUCGAAGGUGCCGCUGUUGUGCUGAGCAGAGACCAUCUCCAAUUUUAAACCACAGCUUUUAUUUCUUGGCUCUGCCCGCCCUUUCCCGGCGCUGCUGAAUAGGUGGUGUCGGGCCCUUGGGUCCUCCCCGGUGACCCUGCUGCGCGUCCAGCGCUGCAAAAGCAUCUGCGAACGGGCCGAGGCCCGGCGGCUCGCGCUUUUCCAGCGUGCUCAGGGUGGAGGAGCGCGGCGAAGCCGUUUCUGCCUACCCCCAUGGCACCCCGCCGCUCGGUUUGCAGCCGGCCGAGCUGGUCUCCAGCCUCUCGGCUCCCCGUGGCAGACUUUCCCUGCUGUUUGUUUUCGGCUCCAGAUUGUCGCUCGGAGGGGACUGAGCUGUGACUGCUGCAGUCUGUUUGCUCAGAGUCUGCGGUGUCUUAGCUGAGCUCAGCGGCAGGGCAGCUGGGAAUCGCUCUCACUAGCGAUUCCUCCGAGGCGAAGAGGAGGAAGAAACCCCGCUCCGUAAAUGCCUCCGACAGCCCACGGCUGAGCAGCAACUGCAAAAACCUAGAAGCCAAAGCAGGGCUUUCCGCCGUUCACCUUCUUCCCUAAAAUCCACCUCCCCAGCCUUUCCCCAUGCCCAGCUGCGUUAAGCAGGGCUCGGUCCCAUCCCCUCCCAUCCUCUGUCCCCGGGCUGCAUCCCCUGGGACAGCCGCAGAAACCCCCCGCAAUCGAGUCUUACAACGUCAGAGCCCGGUAACUAAUUUACAUGGUCCUGUGGAGGUUGUGGGUGUUCCUGUGGCAGCAGGAAACGAAUAAUUAGGAAUAAAGGUACUUCAGAGGAACCCCGGCCCCCUUUACAUUGCCCUUUAUUUAAUAAAGUCCUAAUUCAGAGCAAACAAGCCACCGCGGGCACCAGCACUGCCUCUGCAGAGCUGCAGAGAGCCGGGACCGACAGCCACCACCAUACUCCUCCGGGGCUAAGACACGGGGUGCUUUAAUUAGAAAAACUACUACUUUCCCUCGUUAGCUGAGCCACCACGAAACAGCUCCCCAGCUAACCCCGAGUCCCCGAGCCCGGCACGCACAACCGAGCGGGCACGCACAACCGAGCGGGCACGCACAACCGAGCAGGCAUGCACAACCGAGCAGGCACCUGUGCUCGGACAGGCACCGUCCCCUUCUCCAAAGCCGCAUUUGUGCAGCAGCAUCAGUGGACGCCCCGCUGCCUCCCCGCACGCCUCAUCCGCUGCUGGUGCCGCAGCCCUCGGCGAGGCCGGCGGCCGUGGAGGACGUGUGCACGCACCCACGCUCUUAAGGACGGGUCAUGUUUUUCUCUCCAUCGUACUCUGGGCUCUGGGGGCAGCGUUUGAUUGCAGCUUAAGCGCUGGAUGGUGAAAACAAGCAGUGUUGCUUUUGGGGCUCUGCACAAUGCUGUCCACCUCCGACUUUCAGUGGCACACACGGGUAAGCCAGAAAAAGAGACGGAUGGCUCUGCCCUUUCUCUUUUUAGCUUGCUUCAAGUCAGCAGAGUGUCAGCGAAUGGCAGCCCUGCUGCCCGAGCACCCUUAGGAGAAAGUCCUCCUGCUUCACCUUCCCUUUCCCCACCCAGGCACCAGGCCCAGCACGGACGAUCUGAAACGCAGGGCAAAGCCCCGCGCUGGAGCGUGGUCCAAAGUCAGAGCAGCCAUGCGGAGCCCAGCUCCGGUCGACAUCUCCAUUUACACUGAGGAAGCACCUGCCUCAGAUUCUUUCUACCUGGUGAAAUACGAGCAUUUCCAGAUGCGGCAUCAGCCUCGUCAGCAACACGCUGCAAGAAGGUGCACGCCGCUGAGCCCAAGCCCUUUGCAUUAACCCAUCGGCACAAAGGAUUUUCACAGGCAAUUGUUCUGGUUACAUGUUCAGACAUUGCUUUAUCACAGUUUUAAGUAUAUGGUUUUGGAUCCAAGAAAUAAAAAACCAGGAAUCACUUUGCAA